ensembl:sense_intronic Gm43149 predicted gene 43149
AUCUUGAGGGGAUUCGUGGAUCCUGCUCCAAGCAAUUAUAGCCUCCAGGAAUGCAGUUCCUAGCCUAACUAUUGUGUAGCACCAGCUCAAGUGUCAUAGCAGUUCUAGGAAGUGGAAACAAGAACAAUUGGAUUUAGAAGCAGAGAUAGUCAUCAGAGCUUUCCUUGUAAAGAAAAGGAUAUGGUUGGUCCUUGUGUAAAUUUCUGUGUAAUUUGUUAAUGGGAGGUAGGAGGAAGUAGUUUGCCUGGGCCAAAUAGGAUGCUGCUGGCGUGCAGGAUUGGGAAUAGAUUAUUUUGGUCCAUCUGGGCAAUACAAAAGGAUUCAUAUAGCAGGGUCCAACUAAGAUUUUUUGUUUGCUUUUAUAAAAAUAAUGAUAUAGAGUUAGAAUUUACAUACUACCAAACAUUUGAAGUGUACAGGUUGGUGGGUUUUUUUUAGUGUGUUUACAGGAAUGCACAACCAUUAUCAGUUUUGGAACAUUCUGUCUGUCAUUUGAUGACAUCUAGAGUCCAUUAGCUGUUAAUUUUAUCCUCCAAACUUUUCAGUUUCUCUUAGUUCUAUACAAGUACUAAUCUAUUCUUUCUCUCUAUAAAUCUGCCUACUCCGGCAUAUCAUAACUAUUCAUCACAUGGAAAGUGUGCUGCUGUGUGACACAUCCUUUACUUGUAUCAGAGCAUCGCUUUCUAUGGCUCAUUGAUGCUCCAUUGCGUGUUCACACCACACAGUUGGUUAUCUGCAGAUCACUGCAUUUGCCUGCCGUGAGUAAAUGCUUCUGUGAACACUGAGUAAAUAUCGAGUGUCCAUUUUUCCUUCCUUCUUUUUCCCCUUGGUUUAAUAGUGCUACAUACAGCCUUAUACAUGCUAGGUAAUUAUUCUGCCAAAUGAGCAAAAUCCUACAUUUGCAUAUAUAGCUUGGGGUGGAAUUGCUAGGUCAUAGAUUAGCAGUAAUUACCUUUCUGAAGGGCCACUAAAUAUUUUGGAAAGAGACCUCAACAUUUCAGCAGCAGUACCUGAGUGUUUCCUUUCUUCCCAGGUAGACAGUAUGUAUUUUUGCUUUUUCUAAGAUUAGCUAUCUUUGUGAAUGUGUUAUGUUGUUGUUUAGAUUUGUACUUCUUAAUAGUUAGUGAUGCUGGACAUUGUUCUCCAUGCCCUUCUUGAUCAUUGGGAUAUUUUAUGUCUGUUUAGGUUCAUUGCUGAUUUUUUUACUGUGGUUAUUGGUUUUUAGUUGUUAAGUUGUAGUUCUUUCUACUCUUAAGUAUUAACCAUUGCCAACUGGGAUUUUCCCAUGCCUCCUGCCACUCUGGGCUCCUUUUCAGAUUGAUGAUGGUGUUUGGAACACAAAUAUUUUUUGCUUUGAUGCUUAGUUUGCCUGUCUUUUUUUCCUUUGUUUGUACUUUAUGGUAUUAUAGCCAAGAAAUAGUUG